rnacentral:rRNA from 1 species
UACAGGAGGGGGCAAGCGUUAUUCGGAAUUAUUGGGCGUAAAGGGCGCGUAGGCGGCUUGGCAAGUGGAAGGUGAAAUCCCUCGGCUUAACCGAGGAACUGCCCUCCAAACUGCUUGGCUUGAGACCGGGAGAGGUGAGUGGAAUUCCGAGUGUAGAGGUGAAAUUCGUAGAUAUUCGGAAGAACACCAGUGGCGAAGGCGGCUCACUGGACCGGCAUUGACGCUGAGGUGGCGAAAGCGUGGGGAGCAAACAGG